rnacentral:rRNA from 1 species
AACUCCCCCCCCACUAAGACACUAAGACACUGGAUUCCAUCAGAACUCUGAAGUUAAGCGUGCUUGGGCGAGAAUAGUACUAAGAUGGGCUUUGUCACAAGACUUCCACAGGCACAGGCC